ensembl:lncRNA
CAUUCCACAUCACAACAUCAUGCAGUGUACUGGGAGUUAAAGAGCAAAUGCUUUAGUUCCGGUUCCUGUCUGGAAGAGAAGAACUACGUUCCCCAAGAGCCUUUUUGAGUACUGUUAUCAUUCCUGCUCAAGGGAACAGAUAUAAGGGCACAGGUCAUCUGACUCGCCCCUCUUCUCAUCUUGCCGUGUUCCCUGCUGGAUUGGCUCGCUACUGCUGCUCCCGACUGCACGCAAGGCUUCAGUAUUAGCUUUGUAAAUUGUCAUUUGACUGGCUUAAGAAAAACGAUUCUUCAAGAAUAAAACCACUUGCAACAUUCAGUGUUAGCGAAGAGUGAGCUGGGCUGCAAACUAUGUAAGGUUUUUCAGAAAACAACUUGACAAGCUUUGUGGCCUGCAGCUUUUAGAGCUAGCUGUCCUUCCAUCAAAAAACAGCCUGCCAAAAUGGGGCUCACUUUUUCCAAAAUGCCCUAGGUAACCUAUCUGACAUUGGCAGGACACGCU